AGUGAACGCUGGCGGUAGGCCUAACACAUGCAAGUCGAACGGCAGCACAGGAGAGCUUGCUCUCUGGGUGGCGAGUGGCGGACGGGUGAGGAAUACAUCGGAAUCUACUUUUUCGUGGGGGAUAACGUAGGGAAACUUACGCUAAUACCGCAUACGACCUACGGGUGAAAGCAGGGGAUCUUCGGACCUUGCGCGAUUGAAUGAGCCGAUGUCGGAUUAGCUAGUUGGCGGGGUAAAGGCCCACCAAGGCGACGAUCCGUAGCUGGCCUGAGAGGAUGAUCAGCCACACUGGAACUGAGACACGGUCCAGACUCCUACGGGAGGCAGCAGUGGGGAAUAUUGGACAAUGGGCGCAAGCCUGAUCCAGCCAUACCGCGUGGGUGAAGAAGGCCUUCGGGUUGUAAAGCCCUUUUGUUGGGGAAGAAAUCCAGCUGGCUAAUACCCGGUUGGGAUGACGGUACCCAAAGAAUAAGCACCGGCUAACUUCGUGCCAGCCGCCGCGGUAA
rnacentral:rRNA from 1 species